rnacentral:rRNA from 1 species
GAUGAACGCUAGCGGGAGGCCUAACACUUGCAAGCCGAGCGGUAGAGUUUCUUCGGAAACUUGAGAGCGGCGCACGGGUGCGUAACACGUGUGCAACCUACCUUUAUCUGGGGGAUAGCCUUUCGAAAGGAAGAUUAAUACCCCAUAAUAUAAUGAUUGGCAUCAAUUAUUAUUGAAAACUCCGGUGGAUAGAGAUGGGCAUGCGCAAGAUUAGAUAGUUGGUGAGGUAACGGCUCACCAAGUCAAUGAUCUUUAGGGGUCCUGAGAGGGAGAUCCCCCACACUGGUACUGAGACACGGACCAGACUCCUACGGGAGGCAGCAGUGAGGAAUAUUGGACAAUGGGUGAGAGCCUGAUCCAGCCAUCCCGCGUGAAGGAGGACGGUCCUAUGGAUUGUAAACUUCUUUUGUACAGGGAUAAACCUACCCUCGUGAGGGUAGCUGAAGGUACUGUACGAAUAAGCACCGGCUAACUCCGUG